rnacentral:rRNA from 1 species
UACGUAGGGGGCUAGCGUUGUCCGGAAUCAUUGGGCGUAAAGCGCGCGUAGGCGGCCCUGUUAGUCCGCUGUAAAAGUCAAAGGCUCAACCUUUGAAUGCCGGUGGAUACUGCAGGGCUAGAGUCCGGAAGAGGCGAGUGGAAUUCCUGGUGUAGCGGUGGAAUGCGCAGAUAUCAGGAGGAACACCAACGGCGAAGGCAGCUCGCUGGGACGGUAGCUGACGCUGAGGCGCGAAAGCCAGGGGAGCAAACGGG